AGAGGUGGCAAGCGUUGUUCGGAAUUACUGGGCGUAAAGGGCGCGUAGGCGGCCUCGCAAGUCCCGUGUGAAAUCCCUCGGCUCAACUGAGGAAUGGCACGGGAAACUGCGGGGCUUGAGUUCGGGAGAGGGAAGCGGAAUUCCGGGUGUAGCGGUGAAAUGCGUAGAUAUCCGGAGGAACACCGGUGGCGAAGGCGGCUUCCUGGACCGAUACUGACGCUGAGGCGCGAAAGCUAGGGGAGCAAACGGGAUUAGAUACCCCGGUAGUCCUAGCUGUAAACGAUGAGCGCUGGGUGUAGGGGGUCUUAACCCCCCCUGUGCCGAAGCUAACGCAUCAAGCGCUCCGCCUGGGGAGUACGGUCGCAAGGCUG
rnacentral:rRNA from 1 species